GACGAACGCUGGCGGCGUGCUUAACACAUGCAAGUCGAACGGAAAGGCCCUGCUUUUGUGGGGUGCUCGAGUGGCGAACGGGUGAGUAACACGUGAGUAACCUGCCCUUGACUUUGGGAUAACUUCAGGAACCUGGGGCUAAUACCGGAUAGGAGCUCCUGCUGCAUGGUGGGGGUUGGAAGGUUUCGGCGGUUGGGGAUGGACUCGCGGCUUAUCAGCUUGUUGGUGGGGUAGUGGCUUACCAAGGCUUUGACGGGUAGCCGGCCUGAGAGGGUGACCGGCCACAUUGGGACUGAGAUACGGCCCAGACUCCUACGGGAGGCAGCAGUGGGGAAUAUUGCACAAUGGGCGGAAGCCUGAUGCAGCAACGCCGCGUGCGGGAUGACGGCCUUCGGGUUGUAAACCGCUUUCGCCUGUGACGAAGCGUAAGUGACGGUAAUGGGUAAAGAAGCACCGGCUAACUACGUG
rnacentral:rRNA from 1 species